rnacentral:rRNA from 1 species
AGAUUGAACGCUGGCGGCAGGCCUAACACAUGCAAGUCGAGCGGUAGAGAGGUGCUUGCACCUCUUGAGAGCGGCGGACGGGUGAGUAAAGCCUAGGAAUCUGCCUGGUAGUGGGGGAUAACGCUCGGAAACGGACGCUAAUACCGCAUACGUCCUACGGGAGAAAGCAGGGGACCUUCGGGCCUUGCGCUAUCAGAUGAGCCUAGGUCGGAUUAGCUAGUUGGUGAGGUAAUGGCUCACCAAGGCGACGAUCCGUAACUGGUCUGAGAGGAUGAUCAGUCACACUGGAACUGGAGACGACGGUCCAAGCUACCGUACGGGAGCAGCAGGUGGAGAAUGUAGGACAAGUGGGACGAAA